rnacentral:ncRNA from 1 species
AGAGUAGCCUUGGCGCGUAAAGUGCCGCCGGACGGGACGUUGUCGGCGGACGAAAGAAAGCGGGUUGAAAAACAAUCGACUUUCUGCGGCGACCACGGCGCGUCCGCU